GGUGAGGUGGGUGAGUGGCUUAAACCAACGGUUUGCUAAACCGUCGUACGUGGAAACAUGUACCGAGAGUUCGAAUCUCUCCCUCACCG
rnacentral:tRNA from 2 species